rnacentral:rRNA from 1 species
CCCUUGGCCUUGACAUACUAAGAACUUUCCAGAGAUGGAUUGGUGCCUUCGGGAACUUAGAUACAGGUGCUGCAUGGCUGUCGUCAGCUCGUGUCGUGAGAUGUUGGGUUAAGUCCGCAACGAGCGCAACCCUUUUCCUUAUUUGCCAGCGGGUAAUGCCGGGAACUUUAAGGAUACUGCCAGUGACAAACUGGAGGAAGGCGGGGACGACGUCAAGUCAUCAUGGCCCUUACGGCCAGGGCUACACACGUGCUACAAUGGUCGGUACAAAGGGUUGCUACCUCGCGAGAGGAUGCUAAUCUCAAAAAGCCGAUCGUAGUCCGGAUCGCAGUCUGCAACUCGACUGCGUGAAGUCGGAAUCGCUAGUAAUCGCGGAUCAGAAUGCCCGCGGUCGAAUACGUUCCCGGGCCUUGUACACACCGCCCGUCACACCAUGGGAGUUUGUUGCACCAGAAGUAGGUAGUCUAACCGCAAGGAGGACGCUUACCACGGUGUGGCCGAUGACUGGGGUGAAGUCGUAACAAGGUAGGCGUAGAUGA